ACUAGAUCAAAGUGUCCAGCUGGUAACAGAAGAGUGGGCUGCAGGGCCUGACCCUCUGGUAUUGGCUGCCCAGGGGGAGAGCAGUUGAGAUGAGCUCUCCCGGUGGGUAAUAAAAUGAGUCUACGUAGGGAGGAAGCAGGAUGUAUAAAGCCCAGGAGCCUGAUCUGUUUCUGAGAUCAAACAGAGCAGCAUUGUACCGGGGUGUGGAGCUGAUGUCAGCGUCUAGAAUGCUGGUCGGAAUCGCCCUGGUUACGCAGCUGGACCGGAAUAAGCAGGCCACUGCAGUCUACCUUUGGUGCUGGCGAGAAGACUGGCCCCACCAGCUCAGUGGAUGCCUCCACAACUGGCUGAUGGUUUGGUUGUCCCAAGUCAUCAUUUUUUUUCUUCAAAUACACAAAGCCCAACUUGAGGACCAAGACAAAACAACAUAAAUGUCCUUUAAAGCAAAAGUCCCAACCCAGCAACCCAGAACCUAGCAGACCCCAAGGAGCUCAGAUCCAAAAUGACCUCGUAACGACAGUGGAAAAACCCACACGAGAAAACCUUUCGUGAGGAGGGUGCUUCAUAAAAUCCAGCUGAAUAAAACCUCAUUUCUCUAAACCGCCUUUCUCUGCUACCUCCAGAAGCCAGCCGCCUCAGGAUCUCAACGUGCCCCUGCAUGGUGACCAUCACCUCCCGUCCUGCUAUGUCUAAACUGCCAACCUCAGCUUCACGCUCAUUCCCUCCAUGAAAGUGCAUGAUUUCUACAUCGAGGCUCCUGGAAUCGCCCCCCUCCUCUUUUUCUCUUUUUUUCAGUCCUCCUUUUCCUUCUUUGGGUCCUGAGCACCCUGCCAUUCUUCCAAAAUGGAGAAAAGCAGGGGGGGGAAAGAGGAGAAGCAAACGAAACUUCCCCACGGCUCUGUGAGUGACUGCUAGGUUUCCAUGGCUCGCUUUCCACUGUUCCCGGUGACCCCUGCAGACUCCCCUUAUGAGUGAGUGUCCCGGAAUGUCUCUUUAUUAGGUGUCUGGAGAAGUAAAGCUGUCCUGAUGCCAGCGCCCCCACACUGAGGACUUUAUUAGUUUUUUAAUUUUCUGUCCGGGUGCUCCUGCUGCAUCAAACUUUCCACAGCUGUUAGGAGCUAUUAAGUAAGUAGCCUCAUUGGCCCUUUCCCCUCCCCCACCCCCUUCUUAAUAACACAAGAAACUUCUGGCCCUGCUACAUGGAGCCUUUAAAAUAAAGAUACUUUGUCUCUCUGAUGAGAAAUCCUUGGAGGUCUGGGUGAGGAGAGGAUGUCCUGCCGUAAGAAAAGCGCCUUGUCUCGUCGCUGUCUGGGCUCAGAGCGGGCUCUUCAGACGACGUGGGGAACCGAGCCGGGGUGGGGGGCCGGGCAGAAGGGAGAACCCACUCUUUCAGCCAUUCUGCGCAGCCAGGAGGGGACCCGGGGUAGCUCUGACUGUUUUCAGGGCUGACUUGGAAUCCCGCCCAGAGCGUGAUGCCUGGUUCAAAGCGUUCCCUCCUGAUGGACAUUCUAAGACCUGCAGCGAAGGAUAAAACGGAACGAUUUGCUAACGUUCCCCAGGUAGGCACACAGCUGUGGUUCUGUGCAACAGGCCAGGGUUAUUGCUCCUGGCUCCCCUGGGAAGGAAAUCCUGAUCC
ensembl:lncRNA